UACGUAGGGACCAAGCGUUGUUCGGAUUUACUGGGCGUAAAGGGCGCGUAGGCGGCGUGGUAAGUCACUUGUGAAAUCUCUGAGCUUAACUCAGAACGGCCAAGUGAUACUGCUGUGCUAGAGUGCAGAAGGGGCAAUCGGAAUUCUUGGUGUAGCGGUGAAAUGCGUAGAUAUCAAGAGGAACACCUGAGGUGAAGACGGGUUGCUGGGCUGACACUGACGCUGAGGCGCGAAAGCCCAGGGGAGCAAACGGG
rnacentral:rRNA from 1 species